GUUGAUUAUUCGACCUUUAUAAUAUAAAAAAACAAGGUACUGUCUUGUGGAAAGAGAGAGAGAGAGACAAUUAUUGCCACCUAUUGUCUGUAUUACAGCUACCUAGUCCACCUGCAUGGUCUUCACUGCCAAGAAAAAAGAAAUUGAAAGUGGUGAGGGAGUAUGGGAUACAGAGAAUUAAAAUAAACUUUGAUCUACUUAUUGUAAACACUUCAUUAUAUUGAGAACUUUCAUCACCUCUCUCAAAGCCAACUUCAUUUGAAGGAAAGUGAUGGAUUUAAAGGCUGAACUAAUUAAGGCUUUCAGGACCCUAGCAGGCCCAGGUUGCUGGUGGCCACUCCCCGGCCUGCUGCGGUUUCUGCGUGGUUCAGCGAGCUUUUUCAGGAGUCAACGGCAGUUCUGUGUUUGGGAUGUUUUGGGGAGACCUCAGCGAUGCAAGCUGAGUAACCAGGUGUCUCACACUCACUGUGCGGAAGAAUGAGAUGCAGCCAGUUCCCAGCAGGAUCAAAUUUAAGAGGAACACUCAUUGUUUCUUCCUGUAAGUCUAGAAAAUUUCCCUUUCAAAGAAAUAAACUGUAGUAAAUAUUAACAAUUUUAAAAAGCUGUACAAUAUAACUUUAAACUGCUUUUCAUAGCAGAGAAACAGACAUACAGAGAACUUCUCCCUGUCCUAAGUGUUCUAUUCCUGUGUAUAAAGUAGAUGCCACAUGCUGACAUUUCUCAAGUUUGAGCCUCAGUCUACACAUGGAGCUUUAGACUCUGAACUCAAGGGUGCUAAUAUGUGCCAUGCAAUAGUCCCCUUGUGCUUAUGCAGGAAGGAUGAUUCCUUACCUUCAAAGCAAUUACAUUUUGAACCAAAUCAAAUUUCUAACUCUGGAGUUCUCCUGUGAUGUUUCUCCGGCAUUUCAAAGCUAAUAUUUCCCAAAAGCAUCUCUUGACUUCUCUCUCUCCAAUCUAUCCCUUUCCCAUACUGCCCACAUCCCCUCCAUUUUAGUCCUCAUGAUCUUUGUCGACAGCACUACCAAGUGCCAAGUUCAAGACAAAAUCCUUCUUGUUUAUGCUCUUUUCCUCACAAUCCAUGAAUUCUGAUGCAAAUGUCUAUCUGGAAUAAGUCUUCUUUUAUCCAGCGCAUCAGUCCAAACCACCAUCAUCCUUGUUUUCUCAACUCUUUUCCUUUUUCACCUGUACUCAUACCCAGAAUUCAGGGUGAUCUUCACACAUAAUGAAUGAGUCACAUGGCACCAUCGUCCCCUACAAAAUCUGUGACAUACACUUUUGUUCUUUCAGUUCUGUUUCUUCUCUCUAGCUUCAUCAUGAACCACCCCCAAUUUAUUAUCUAUGCUCACCCGCCUUUCAGAAUGUAAUAAAUUUUUGUUCAGGAACUAGAUAACUAAUUCUUAAGGGUAUCUCAGAAACUAUUUCUAAUAACUUCUAUGUUAUCCAGUUACAACAUCUCAGCUCUCUCCUUGUAGAGUGAUUUUCUUAACUGUAUAACUUGUACAUGACAAAAACUAAGAGCAGACGAUGAAUGCACAUUUAGCAUACACAACAGAAGUUUCACUGUG
ensembl:lincRNA